AAAAAGGCAAGGAUUGAGAGUAGUAGAAAGUAAUUAAUUUUUCAGAGAGUAGACGGUUGCUGAAAGUCUAUAAAUUAGUAUUUUUGAACUCGCUCAUGAGCAAUAAAGGUGAAAAUUAUAGUAACUUUUAUCGGGUAAAAACCGUUAUUUUAAUUAAGUAUAAUUUUGGAUGGUACCGCGCAAACACGCUCCAAUA
rnacentral:ncRNA from 1 species